rnacentral:rRNA from 1 species
UACGUAGGGUGCAAGCGUUAAUCGGAAUUACUGGGCGUAAAGCGUGCGCAGGCGGUUGUGGAAGACAGAUGUGAAAUCCCCGGGCUCAACCUGGGAACUGCAUUUGUGACUGCACAGCUUGAGUGCGGCAGAGGGGGAUGGAAUUCCGCGUGUAGCAGUGAAAUGCGUAGAUAUGCGGAGGAACACCGAUGGCGAAGGCAAUCCCCUGGGCCUGCACUGACGCUCAUGCACGAAAGCGUGGGGAGCAAACAGG